rnacentral:rRNA from 1 species
GUUUGAUCAUGGCUCAGAACGAACGCUGAUGGCGUGCCUCAUACAUGCAAGUCGAGCGCACCGCAAGGUGAGCGGCGAACGGGUGAGUAACGCGUGAACAAUCUGCCUCAAAGUGGGGGACAACCAUUCCAACGGAUGGCUAAUACCGCAUAGGGUUCGGGAGCGGCAUCGCUUCCCUACGAAAGCAUUUAUGCGCUUUGAGAUGAGUUCGCGUCCCAUUAGCUAGUUGGCGGGGUAACGGCCCACCAAGGCAACGAUGGGUAGCCGGCCUGAGAGGGUGUCCGGCCACAUUGGGACUGAGAUACGGCCCAGACUCCUAUGGGAGGCAGCAGUAGGGAAUUUUGCGCAAUGGGGGAAACCCUGACGCAGCAACGCCAUGUGUGGGAUGAAGCAUUUCGGUGUGUAAACCACUGUCGGCAGGGAAUAAAGCCCACAUUUAUGUGGGGGUGAAUGUACCUGCAGAGGAAGCCCCGGCUAACUUCGUGCCAGCAGCCGCGGUAAUACAGGGGGGCAAGUGU